rnacentral:rRNA from 1 species
CAGUAGCCACGGGAAUACGGAGGGAGCUAGCGUUGUUCGGAAUUACUGGGCGUAAAGGGCGCGUAGGCGGUUUGGCAAGUUUGGUGUGAAAUCUUCGGGCUCAACUCGAAGUCUGCAUCGAAAACUGCCGGGCUUGAGUAUGGGAGAGGUGAGUGGAAUUUCCGGUGUAGCGGUGAAAUGCGUAGAUAUCGGAAGGAACACCUGUGGCGAAAGCGGCUCACUGGACCAUUACUGACGCUGAGGCGCGAAAGCUAGGGGAGCAAACAGGAUUAGAGACCCCAGUAGUCCCUGUCUCUUAUAC